GUGCUAGCUUCAGUGGCACAUAUCCUAAGAUUGGAACAAUACAGAGAUUAGCACGGCUCCUGCGUGAGAAUGACACGCAAAUUUGUGAAGCGUUCCUCUUUUUU